rnacentral:misc_RNA from 1 species
CCACCUCAAGCUUAGGGCUUGUCGUUGGGCACCGCCCGCGAGGGCGCGCCUCAAACCCAUCGGCGCCUCCGAGGGGCCCCCGAACGCACAGAGCCUAACCGCCCGCGUUCGGAGGUCCGCUAGGGGGCCGCCCUCCUGCCCACGCGCAGCCGCGUACC